UCACAGAAGCCUGCAACAUCAAGGCCGUAAUACUUCUCUGUGCCAAUCCUGACACAAAGUGGGUGCAAAAAGCCAUGAACUCUGUACCACAAAAACUUUGAGCAGCAGAUCACCUGAG